GCGUUCAAUUCAGCAGCACACAUACUAACACUGGAACAAUUCAGAGAAGAUCAGCAUGGCUCCUGCGCAAGGAUGACAUGCAAAUUCAUGAAGCGUUCGUAUUUUUA
rnacentral:snRNA from 1 species